GCUACUUCAAAGCCCUCAGGAUCAGUCUUUUCUAGAGGGUUCAGCCUUUAGCUUUCUUCUCAGAACUCUGCUCAGGGGACUAAUUUACCCACUGUUCAGUGACUUGUGCGAAAAGCUUGCAGUGUAUCGAAACGUGCACGAACCUGGGAAGACAUCUGAUGCUAACUACUGGUGAGCUAAACCAGGCAGCUUGAAGGAGACGAGGGAUGAGACAAACAUCCUAAAACGUGGAGAGCACAGGUGACCAUGCAGAGCUCAUCAGCACAGGUAACCGUGAUGGAGUCCCAGGAUCGCAAAAGAGCUCCAGCAUGGACUGAACGGGAGGUACGGGAUCUGCUCGCAAUAUGGGGAGACGAAUCACUGCUAGCUGAACUCCGAAGCAGUAAACGAAAUGGCAAA